rnacentral:rRNA from 1 species
GACGAACGCUGGCGGCGUGCCUAAUACAUGCAAGUAGAACGCUGAAGCUUGGUGCUUGCACCGAGCGGAUGAGUUGCGAACGGGUGAGUAACGCGUAGGUAACCUGCCUGGUAGCGGGGGAUAACUAUUGGAAACGAUAGCUAAUACCGCAUAACAGUAGAUAUCGCAUGAUAGCUACUUGAAAGGUGCACAUGCACCACUACCAGAUGGACCUGCGUUGUAUUAGCUAGUUGGUGAGGUAACGGCUCACCAAGGCAACGAUACAUAGCCGACCUUCGAGGGUGAUCGGCCACACUGGGACUGGGACACGGCCCAGACUCCUACGGGAGGCAGCAGUAGGGAAUCUUCGGCAAUGGACGGAAGUCUGACCGAGCAACGCCGCGGGAGUGAAGAAGGUUUUCGGAUCGUAAAGCUCUGUUGUAAGAGAAGAACGAGUGUGGUAGUGGAAAGUUCACACUGUGACGGUAUCUUACCAGAAAGGGACGGCUAACUACGUG